rnacentral:rRNA from 1 species
UACGUAGGUGGCAAGCGUUGUCCGGAAUUAUUGGGCGUAAAGCGCGCGCAGGUGGUCCUUUAAGUCUGAUGUGAAAGCCCACGGCUCAACCGUGGAGGGUCAUUGGAAACUGGGGACUUGAGUGCAGGAGAGAAGAGUGGAAUUCCACGUGUAGCGGUGAAAUGCGUAGAGAUGUGGAGGAACACCAGUGGCGAAGGCGACUCUUUGGCCUGUAACUGACACUGAGGCGCGAAAGCUAGGGAGCAAACAGG